AGGCUGGUCUCACUGUCAGCAUGCUCCCCCAACAGCAUCAAGUUUAUUUCCAGGCAGCAGGCGAGCAGGGCUGAGAACUUGUCCCAGGCUACAAGCCUCCCUGCUGACAACAGAAGCAGGGCUUUCAGGUUUUAUGCCUCUCUGCCUGCCACAGCUUCUGUGCUUGUAUCUGCACUCCCUGUUUGACCCCCUCCCCAGAUUCUGUCCAGGAAACUUCAUGUUCGGUAGAAAUUGUUAUAAAAUUCAACUGGAAGUUUUCCUCUCCCUCUGGUUUUUCCUCAAUUCCACUGGCAGCCCUCCCCAAGUUGCAAGAUAAAGACAGAAAAGGCUUCCCUGAGGACUGAGAGUGCCCACAGGGCUCUUGCUGCUGCUUUCUCUACCCCUAUAUUUUGUGCGGCUCUCAGCAUUUGUCUCAGCUCCAGAAGAACCCAGCUUGCUUUGGAACUACAGUCAGCCCUGCAACCCACCCUCACCUUGGACCCUGCUGCUGCUGUCUGUAAAGACAAUGCUGCGAUGAAUACACCUGUGCAUUCUUUUUUAGAACAAGUGUAAGAAUUCCUAUGUGCAGCUGGAAAAGUGCUGACCAGAGCAUUGUUGAAGGCCGUAUAGUAAGAAUGGCAAAGCUUCCCUACCAGCCCAACUGACUGUUUUGUGGUGCAGAGGCCAUCUAUUAUGUGAGAGAGAGCAAUAAAUAUAUAUAUAUAU
rnacentral:lncRNA from 1 species